rnacentral:piRNA from 1 species
UGGAUAAUGUAGGUGCUAACAGUUG